CUGGCGGCAUGCCUUACACAUGCAAGUCGAACGGCAGCACGGGGCAACCUUGGUGGCGAGUGGCGAACGGGUGAGUAAAGCAUCGGAACGUGCCCUGGAGUGGGGGAUAACGUAGCGAAAGUUACGCUAAUACCGCAUAUUCUGUGAGCAGGAAAGCAGGGGAUCGCAAGACCUUGCGCUCUGGGAGCGGCCGAUGUCGGAUUAGCUAGUUGGUGGGGUAAAGGCCUACCAAGGCGACGAUCCGUAGCGGGUCUGAGAGGAUGAUCCGCCACACUGGGACUGAGACACGGCCCAGACUCCUACGGGAGGCAGCAGUGGGGAAUUUUGGACAAUGGGCGGAAGCCUGAUCCAGCCAUGCCGCGUGAGUGAAGAAGGCCUUCGGGUUGUAAAGCUCUUUCGGCGGGGAAGAAAUUGCACGGGUUAAUACCCUGUGUAGAUGACGGUACCCGAAUAAGAAGCACCGGCUAACUACGUG
rnacentral:rRNA from 1 species